rnacentral:rRNA from 1 species
UUGUCUCAAAGAUUAAUCCAUGCAUGUCUAAGUGCAAGCCAAAACAAGGUGAAACCGCGAAUGGCUCAUUAAAUCAGUUAUGGUUCCUUAGAUAAUACACCAAGUUACUUGGAUAACUGUGGUAAUUCUAGAGCUAAUACAUGCAAACAGAGUUCCGACUCGAGAGGGGAGGAACGCUUUUAUUAGAUCAAAACCAAUCGGUCGGACACGGCGGAGGCCUCCGACGGUGUGGCGCGCAAGCGCCCUCUGUCGUGCCCCGUCGCCGGCCGCACACAAGUUUUGGUGACUCUGAAUAACCACUGAGCAGAUCGUACGGCCCCAGUGCCGACGACGCAUCUUUCAAAUGUCUGCCUUAUCAACUGUCGAUGGUAGGCUCUGCGCCUACCAUGGUUGUAACGGGUAACGGGGAAUCAGGGUUCGAUUCCGGAGAGGGAGCCUGAGAAACGGCUACCACUUCCAAGGAAGGCAGCAGGCGCGCAAAUUACCCACUCCCGGCACGGGGAGGUAGUGACGAAAAAUAACGAUACGGGACUCAUCCGAGGCCCCGUAAUCGGAAUGAGCACAGCUUAAAUACUUUAACGAGUAUCCAUUGGAGGGCAAGUCUGGUGCCAGCAGCCGCGGUAAUUCCAGCUCCAAUAGCGUAUAUUAAAGUUGUUGCGGUUAAAAAGCUCGUAGUUGGACUUGUGUCCCACGCCGUCGGUUCGUCGCCCGUCGACGUAACCGCACGGUCAAAAUUGAACAGUGGGACGUCCAGCCGGUGGUGACGUCUGGUCUCGGCGUACGAGAGUUGUCGUCCGGUUCCAACCCCCGAGGGGGCGUCCGUGCGCGCGGCGUGUCCGCGUGCGCCCGCGCGACCGCGUCGUUCGUCCUCUGCCCACGAGCGAGACUCGGCCCUUGCGAUCAAAACCGUCUCCCCGGAUGUCGUCUGCGUGCGGGUGCGCCCUCCGUUCGUUCGGUUGAGGCGUCCGUCGUGGCGGCGUUCGCGGGUGUGCGGCGCAUGAGGCCUGCUCGUCCGAGGUGUAAGGCGGCGGCGAUCAAACGGUCGCGAUCGAGGCGCGCGCGCGCUCACGUCUCUACGUCGCACGGCGUCCGUCAAACCGAGGGGGUACCGGCGCUGCUCUCAGCCUUGGUGCCGGUCCCAUUUUACUCGUCUCGGUGCUCUUGAUCGAGUGUCUUGACGGGCCGGCUCGUUUACUUUGAACAAAUUAGAGUGCUUCAAGCAGGCGUACAUUCGCCCGAAUAUUGUGUGCAUGGAAUAAUGGAAUAGGAUCUCGGUCUUAUUUUGUUGGUUUUCUGGACCGGAGAUAAUGAUCAAUAGAGACUGACGGGGGCAUUCGUAUUGCGACGUUAGAGGUGAAAUUCUUGGAUCGUCGCAAGACGAACCGAAGCGAAAGCAUUUGCCAAGCAUGCUCUCGUUAAUCAAGAACGAAAGUUAGAGGUUCGAAGGCGAUCAGAUACCGCCCUAGUUCUAACCAUAAACGAUGCCAACUAGCGAUCCGCCGGUGUUCCUCCGAUGACCCGGCGGGCAGCUUCCGGGAAACCAAAGUGUUUGGGUUCCGGGGGAAGUAUGGUUGCAAAGCUGAAACUUAAAGGAAUUGACGGAAGGGCACCACCAGGAGUGGAGCCUGCGGCUUAAUUUGACUCAACACGGGAAACCUCACCAGGCCCGGACACUGGAAGGAUUGACAGAUUGAUAGCUCUUUCUUGAUUCAGUGGGUGGUGGUGCAUGGCCGUUCUUAGUUGGUGGAGCGAUUUGUCUGGUUAAUUCCGAUAACGAACGAGACUCUGGCCUGCUAACUAGUCGCACAAACAAUGACGACAUCCGCAUUCGUGCUGUCGGCGACAAAUCAAUACUCUUCUUAGAGGGACAGGCGGCUUCUAGCCGCACGAGAUUGAGCAAUAACAGGUCUGUGAUGCCCUUAGAUGUUCUGGGCCGCACGCGCGCUACACUGGAGGCAUCAACGUGUGUCCGCCCUUGACCGAGAGGUCCGGGUAACCCGCUGAAACGCCUCCGUGCUAGGGAUCGGGGCUUGCAAUUGUUCCCCGUGAACGAGGAAUUCCCAGUAAGCGCGAGUCAUAAGCUCGCGUUGAUUACGUCCCUGCCCUUUGUACACACCGCCCGUCGCUACUACCGAUUGAAUGAUUUAGUGAGGUCUUCGGACCGUCGCGCGGCCAAGGCCCCGCCACGUUCGCGUGCGCGGUGGCCCGUCGAUGUUCGACGGAAAGAUGAUCAAACUUGAUUAUUUAGAGGAAGUAAAAGUCGUAACAAGGUUUCCGUA